rnacentral:rRNA from 1 species
CCUUAGUAAGAUUCCCCUUGAGUUUGAUCAUGGCUCAGAGCGAACGCUGGCGGCAGGCCUAAUACAUGCAAGUCGAGCGCACCUUCGGGUGAGCGGCGGACGGGUGAGUAACGCGUGAGAACGUGCCCUUUGGUACGGAACAACUGAGGGAAACUUCAGCUAAUACCGUAUGUGCCCUUCGGGGGAAAGAUUUAUCGCCAUUGGAGCGGCCCGCGUUGGAUUAGCUAGUUGGUGGGGUAAAGGCCCACCAAGGCGACGAUCCAUAGCUGGUCUGAGAGGAUGAUCAGCCACACUGGGACUGAGACACGGCCCAGACUCCUACGGGAGGCAGCAGUAGGGAAUCUUGCGCAAUGGGCGAAAGCCUGACGCAGCCAUGCCGCGUGAAUGAUGAAGGUCUUAGGAUUGUAAAAUUCUUUCACCGGGGAAGAUAAUGACGGUACCCGGAGAAGAAGCCCCGGCUAACUUCGUGCCAGCAGCCGCGGUAAUACGAAGGGGGCUAGCGUUGCUCGGAAUUACUGGGCGUAAAGGGCGCGUAGGCGGACAGUUUAGUCAGAGGUGAAAGCCCAGGGCUCAACCUUGGAAUUGCCUUUGAUACUGGCUGUCUUGAGUUCGGGAGAGGUGAGUGGAAUGCCGAGUGUAGAGGUGAAAUUCGUAGAUAUUCGGCGGAACACCAGUGGCGAAGGCGACUCACUGGCCCGAUACUGACGCUGAGGCGCGAAAGCGUGNNGGAGCAACAGGAUUAGAUACCCUGGUAGUCCACGCUGUNAACGAUGAGUGCUAGUUG